GAACGGCGCAGCCGGUUCUCAAACCACUGUGUACCAAACCCUUCGUUGCCUCCGGCCCCCGCGGCCGGCGGGCCAGCACCAAAACAUUCUGUCGAGAUGGCAUCGUCUGACUACGAGAAACAAAAUAGAAGUACAACUUUCAACAAUGGAUCUCUUGGCUCCGGCAUCGAUGAAGAACGCAGCGAAAUGCGAUAGCUAGUGUGAAUUGCAGAUUUCAGUGAAUCAUCGAGUUUUUGAACGCACAUUGCGCCUCUUGGUAUUCCUCGAGGCAUGCCUGUUCGAGCGUCGUUACGCCCCUCAAGCGCGAGCUUGGUGUUGGGGAUCGCCCCUGAGAUACGGCGGCGGCCCUUAAAUGCAUCGGCGGAGCUGGUUGCCAGCCCGGAGCGCAGCAGACAUGCGGCUCCCGGGCGGCCUGGCCCCCGCCGGACAACCCCCCCCUUCUUACAAACGUCGACCUCGAAUCAGGUAGGGAUACCCGCUGAACUUAAGCAUAUCAAUAAGCGGAGGAAAAGAAACCAACAGGGAUUGCCUCAGUAACGGCGAGUGAAGCGGCAACAGCUCAAAUUUGAAAUCUGGCGCCUCUGGCGUCCGAGUUGUAAUUUGCAGAGGAUGCUUCGGCGUUGGCGCCGCCCAAAGUUCCUUGGAACGGGACGUCGCAGAGGGUGAGAGCCCCGUGUUCGGGCGGAUGCCUUCGCCAUGUGAAGCUCCUUCGACGAGUCGAGUUGUUUGGGAAUGCAGCUCAAAACGGGAGGUAAAUUUCUUCCAAAGCUAAAUACCGGCCGGAGACCGAUAGUGCACAAGUAGAGUGAUCGAAAGAUGAAAAGCACUUUGGAAAGAGAGUCAAACAGCGCGUGAAAUUGUUGAAAGGGAAGCGCUUGCGGUCAGAACUUGGCCGCCGUUGCUCGGGGGGGCCUCGCGCCCCCCUCGCUCUUCGGCGGCUGGGCCAGCAUCGGUUCGGGCGGCUCGAGAAAGGCCGCGGGAACGUGGCUCCCUCCGGGGAGUGUUAUAGCCCGCGGCGCAAUAGGGCCCGCCUGGAUCGAGGUCUGC
rnacentral:rRNA from 1 species